rnacentral:lncRNA from 1 species
CGCGUGCCUUCUGUCUGCUGUGGGCCCAGCAGCUGCACAGACCCCUCUUGUUGGGAGACAAGACAGGGCUCUUUCUCUCCCGUGACCUCAGCCUCAUCUCCAAUCGUGGGGAAGAGAGAAACUGAAAUUCUUCCUGUGACUGAACACAUGAGAAUGCAACAGUUACUUGGGGUAACAGGUUUCCUGUGGGUCCUGUGUGAAGAGUAUGCAUUCAUUCCAGUGUCGGGGAGGGGAGAAGAAUGAGGAGGAGGCAGUCCCAUGUGGAUGUCAGUGUGAUGAUUAGGAUGCCUGAUGCUUCCGAAACAAGAAUACACUUUACGAAAAUGCCCAUUGAAAAUACUUUUUCCUUUCUACUCUUGUGCUAAGAGUGCCUGUUUGGACCCCAUGGCUUCGUAAUGGGUAUUGUGAAGAUGAAAGCAAAGAUAUGGCAAGAGCUCAGAAGAGUACCUGGCCCAUAUUAAGUGACCAUGCUCAAGAGCUUCAGAAUCUUUACAACGUGAAAGA